CGCUCUUUGGAGUCAGAUCAGGUGACAUCUGGCUUCCAGGAGAUACUGCAGCAACCGUAACUCCUGUUUUAAAAUCAACAGCUUGCAGUAGAUUUCUGUUCAUAGGAUGGUCCUGAAUUCCAAGAAUUGAAGGCUUCACUUCCUGGCACUACGAAAAAAAAAAGAGAAGCAAAAAUAAGCAAUGGUCAAAUAACUGAAACAUACUUGCAGAUCCAAAACCAGCUUAUUCCUCAAACAUUAAAACCACAUCGAAUUUUGUCAGAUAAUUGUAGUUCAUAUAAAUCCUACUUCUCCAGGUUAUUAGUCACCUGUGUUGCAGGUUGAGAACGAUUGUCCGCAUCAACAGUGUUGGAAAACGUGAUAGUAUUCUGUUUGGCAAAUGGUAUCUCCGACUUCUGUAUCAGUUCUUGCGGCUGAUGCACCUUCUGGGGCUGCUGCAUCUGAAGUGGCCGAGUUUGAGUUGUCAGCAGAUCCGGUCUCACCACGGCUCCAUUCCCAGAAAAAUCAUGAGGCUGGUUAGGACCAAACCCAUUACGAGCUGAGCCGAGACCUGCAUUAGUGCCAAAUCCAUAGAAGCCCCCAUUGAAGUUAUCUACCGGUUGAGAUUCUUCCCUUACCACACCAGCCCUAACCAAGAACUCCUCCAAAGUCAUCUCUCCCAACGUUUGUUGCCUCUGCGGGAUUCCACUUGUUCCUCCAUUAGCAACACCAUUUCCAGUGUCAUCCUCCUUCAUCAGCUCCUUCCAGACAUCAUCAACCCUUUUCUGACUAAUCGUACGAGGCAAGGUAAGUGACCCUUGUCUCUGCAAACUCCCACCUGUAUAAAAACCACCACUGACUUCUCCUCCCACACCAACAGACAAACCCCCAUCGUUGUUACCGCAGUUCAUAACAGCGUUUCCGCUAUUACCAUUGUUGAAACUGGUGUUGUUG
rnacentral:lncRNA from 1 species